CCACAUCAAUGGUCGUUGGAU
rnacentral:miRNA from 1 species